rnacentral:rRNA from 1 species
GGGUGAGUAAUGCGUGACCGACCUGCCCCAUGCUCCGGAAUAGCUCCUGGAAACGGGUGGUAAUGCCGGAUGUUCCACAUGAUCGCAUGUGAUUGUGGGAAAGAUUUCAUCGGCGUGGGAUGGGGUCGCGUCCUAUCAGCUUGUUGGUGAGGUAACGGCUCACCAAGGCUUCGACGGGUAGCCGGCCUGAGAGGGCGACCGGCCACAUUGGGACUGAGAUACGGCCCAG